rnacentral:rRNA from 1 species
GAUGAACGCUAGCGGCAGGCCUAAUACAUGCAAGUCGAACGGUGUCUUCGGACAUAGUGGCGCACGGGUGCGUAACACGUAUGCAACCUACCUUACAUUGGGGGAUAGCCUUUCGAAAGGGAGAUUAAUACCGCAUAAGACAGUAGCUGGGCAUCCAGCAGCUGUUAAAGCUCUAUCGAUGUAAGCAGGGCAUGCGUCCAAUUAGCUAGUUGGUGAGGUAACGGCUCACCAAGGCAAUGAUUGGUAGGGGAACUGAGAGGUCAAUCCCCACACUGGCACUGAGAUACGGGCCAGACUCCUACGGGAGGCAGCAGUAGGGAAUAUUGGGCAAUGGACGCAAGUCUGACCCAGCCAUGCCGCGUGCAGGAUGAAGGCGGUAUGCGUUGUAAACUACUUUUAUACAGGAAGAAACGACUCUUGCGAGAGUCAUUGACGGUACUGUAUGAAUAAGCACCGGCUAACUCCGUGCCAGCAGCCGCGGUAAAAC